GGCUCCGUAGCUCAAUUGGAUAGAGCAUUCGCCUUCUAAGCGAACGGUUCCUGGUUCGAGUCCAGGCGGGGUCGCCA
rnacentral:tRNA from 1 species